GACGAACGCUGGCGGCGUGCUUAACACAUGCAAGUCGAACGGUAAGGCCCUUCGGGGUACACGAGUGGCGAACGGGUGAGUAACACGUGGGUGAUCUGCCCUGCACUUCGGGAUAAGCCUGGGAAACUGGGUCUAAUACCGGAUAGGACUCCGGACUGCAUGGUCUGGGGUGGAAAGCUUUUGCGGUGUGGGAUGGGCCCGCGGCCUAUAAGCUUGUUGGUGGGGUGAUGGCCUACCAAGGCGACGCCGGGUAGCCGGCCUGAGAGGGUGACCGGCCACACUGGGACUGAGAUACGGCCCAGACUCCUACGGGAGGCAGCAGUGGGGAAUAUUGCACAAUGGGCGCAAGCCUGAUGCAGCGACGCCGCGUGAGGGAUGACGGCCUUCGGGUUGUAAACCUCUUUCAGCAUCGACGAAGCGAAAGUGACGGUAGGUGCAGAAGAAGGACCGGCCAACUACGUGCCAGCCGCCGCAGUAA
rnacentral:rRNA from 1 species